rnacentral:tRNA from 1 species
GCCGUGUGGGUGUGCUGGAUAGCAUCGCAGUCUUCGAAACUGCGGGACGGGGUUCGAUUCCCUGACACGGUGC